AGAACUUCCACCAUGCCGGCGCGCGGGCGUCGGGGCCCUGCCGGUUCCACUGCCGGUCGCGCUCCAGGACGUAGACGCCUUGGACUAGGCUCGCCAUGACGGAUCGCCGGUGGUGCGGGCAGUUCCUGCCCGGAGCAAAGCAUCAAACAGCAAAGCUGCAGGAUCUGGGUAAUAUUUUUGUUGUGGCUGACUCAGGCUGGAGAAGUUAAGAAAUGGCACUUGAAGAAGAGGUGGGGAGAAGACCUGAGGAGGAGCAUGAAGUCUUUCCCUCUGUACGGGGGGUCGUAGUACAAGUUGCUUAAAUAAUAAGGCACACACUACAUCUCACGCAGAUUUGCACAACAUUAGCUUCAUUUGCGUCUUAUUAUCCCUGAAACAGCAAGUAGGAAACACAGUCCAGACGCAAACGCUCACAAUCACGCGCACACACAUUGGUGAGGGCGGUGAUGACACCUUUUUAUUUCCCCUUCUAUCCUUUGUCAUCAUUGUUUCUACUUUCUAUCCUCUAUUGUUUACAUUUCCCUUACAAUAACCAUGAGGAUUUACAGCUUCGAUUCCUUUUAGAACUCAUACUGUUCGAAGGUCUUGAAAGGUGCUGGUGGUCACAUAAUGAUGUGCUAAAUCAUUGUUUCUUCUUUUAAAAGCUCUGGAUCGAGAGCUGAGAGAGAUGAUAAUGUGUCAAAGUAAAAGUAUUGCAUAUUCUAACACCCCGUCCUUUGUCUUCCAAUGUCACACCUCACUUCCAUAGCGGCCACUUAAUCUAAGUUGUGUGGAAACAUUUGAAAGGAGAGAAACCGCUUCGUCUUCACGGGAAAACGGACUAACCUACAAGGAGGUGCCGAACUUUUUAUUUUUAACCUGGUGUUGGCAGACAGCUCAGGGUCGUGUUUUUGGGAUUAGUCUGCAUGUUGAUUGGGUUUUAGUGGUCUUGGCCCUUGGCCAAACUUUAUUUACUAGUUUAAAAAGUAGUGAGCGGUCCUGCAUUUCCUUACCAAGGAAAAAAGAACUGUAAUGGACAGAGCAGCAUAUGUUGAACACAUUGUUUGAGAUUUCAGAGCACACAAGUGAUCUGAAGGUAAGAAGAAGUGUGUUUAUUUGAAUAACCCUUGCACUUUGUACAUUGUUACAGUAAUCACACAAAAUUCUCUGUAGGCCUAGAAACUCCUUCAGCAUAUUGUGUCUGAAGUCCUUUUUUCUUGUUCCUUGAUGGCGAACAUUACCUCUACUUGUAUCAUGAAGAGACUACUGCAGGUGUUGCUGGACGAGGAACAUCCACUAACCGCUCAA